rnacentral:lncRNA from 1 species
CACUAAGUGGAACAGGACGUGCUGUUUCUUGUUUCAGUGUGGGCAGGGAGGGAGAAGAGGCAAAGAAAUGCAAGGAAGGAGUAUUGAGCUCAUAAUUUACAGGACAUUCUGAUUUCACAGAACUGUUUUUGAAGAAUGUACCCAAGAUCUUUCCAAACUUAAAUUCUUUGAGGAAAAGAAUACUUACCUAUCAACAUUUUUCUUGGAGGGGAAUGGUGCCAUUUUCAAGCUUCUGAGGCACCAAUACAUGCAUAUCCAGUCUUGAUUUCCUUAACUCAUUUUAUGCCAUUUUUCAACAGAUUAGAAUGAAGUGCUUAUCUCUAAAAUUCUUGGUCAUGUCAACAAAAUGCAAAACUUUGCAGCAGAAUUUUACCAAAAAGGAAGCUGAAGAAUUUUAAUAAUUUAUUUUACCCAGCUUUGGGAUAUUCAGGAAAUGAAAUGAGGAUUUGUUUGGGUUUUUUUUGGCUUUUUUUUUUUUUUUUUUGAAUGUGGUCAAAACUAGCAGAGGUGUUGAUCAUUCUGUGAGUGCAAUAAUGGAAGAAAUACAAGCUGUUUGCUAGAAGACUUCUCAGAAGUCAUCAGAUUUCUGCAGAUCCAGGUGCCGGCUGAAUGCUCUUGUCUCUAGAGCUGUUAAAGUCUAACCAGGCUGAUGCAGAGGAUGCUUAAGAUGCACUGAUCAAUGAAUAUUUUUCUUCAAGCAACUGUUACAUUUGCUAAAUGGAAUGAAGAAUUUUAGAAGUCCAAAAAGAACAAUUUUAAAAGUACAAAAAAAAAAAUCAUUUACCUUAUAAUGAGUGACAACCUAAAAGGAUAGGCUCAAAUAACACCUUCGUACCUGAAGUAUGCUGGAGUCAGAUUUGGCUGGCUGAUUUGACUUCUACACUUUGAAGUAGGGUUGAGUUGGAAGCAGAAGCAAUAGAUAUUUGCUGUGUCCUAUGGAUGUGAAACUUAAGGUGUUUUUUUUUUAAGAACCUGUACUUUGACCCAACUGAAGUGCUGAAAGGUUGAAAACUGGCAGUUGUUCCCUAGAAACU